CAUCAGUCACAUGAAAGAAUCGCAGUCAAUGGCGGGGACCAACGAAUUGCCGAUUGCUUGCCCUUAGCUCCAGUCCUGAUACCUAAUGGGUUGUAAUGAAGAGGAAAUUCUCAGUUGUGCUGAGGUUCUGGAUGUGAUGAGAGAUAUUUCAGCUCCGGUUUUCAGAUGUUGUGCCUUUAGAUCUUCGCAGCUCCAACAACUUAUUCCACUGGAUCCUCCAAGACAAUACAAUUGAACGGAACAAUGGCGGUGGGUUUGAUGUUUCACUGCCGUAUAUGUGGCAGUACAAUGAAAAUUUCACACACAUCCUUUAUCUAAAAAAUAACACAUGGAGGAACAAUAAAAAGUUUGGAUUAGUGGUGGAUGGACAUUUUGCACAAUUAAACCUGACACAUAAUGUGUUCGAAGACAAUCAGUGUAAGAGUGGCCUCAUAUCCAUUAGAGGGAUGGAAAAACGCAUGAGGAUUGCAUACAAUCCUGUCUUCAGGAAUACUGGCAUGUAUAUGGUGGAAUUUAGGGCUGACACUCAGUCUGAAAUCCUUGGUGAAGUGGAUACAAGGUUCUUUGAGAAUGAAGUUAAAGAGAACCGCUUCAAUGCUGGUCUCAGCAGAGGCUUUCAUCAGGUAAGACUGAUCAGGUUGGUGUAGUAGAAGUAUCGCUCUGAACUUCUAUUCAGGAGGUAUUUAAGUAGUACUUUGAAAUGGAUUAUGACUGUCUGCUUCUACAUUAUUUAUUAUUCAUCAUUUUUGAUCUUUCCAUGUCAUUCUGUGUUAUAUUAGAUCUUCAUUCAAAAAGUAUAAUUGAAUGACCAAAGAAUCAACCAUUAAAUCAGUCCAUCAGGUAAGGGUAGGGCACUUUAUGAGGAAGUAUUUUACUUACUGGCUUAAUUCUAAUGCUUAUGAAAAACAACUAACAACUGUGGAGUGAAAAUUGUGCAAGGAAUAUCUCAUGUCAACUAUUUUGGUGUUUUUCUUUUUUUUGAUUAUUACAUAUAUUUAUGUUACAGUUACUGAAUUUCUCUGGAAAUAUUUUUGAACUUGAGAUUUGGUAUAUCAUUAAAGUCAGUAAACAUUAUCUGGUCUGUUUCUUUUUGAUACAAACAAAAUAUAUUAUUAUUUGAAGAUUUCCGUCUUCUAGGUUGUUGCGCUGUGUAGUCUUACAUAUUAUUAUUCAUUUGAUACAGGAAUUAUAUGAGGUUUUCUGAUGGAAAAUGUAAACCUAUCUCUCUGAUUUAUGUUUAGUGUGUUGUGGUUAUGAAAGUUUUAUUGUCUUGUCAGUAUUUCACCAAAAAGAACCUGAGAAUUAUGUUCUUAAAUAUGGCAAACUUUGCUGAGUUUUAAUUAAGUUUUGUAAACAAAGCACAUGUUUAUAAGUAUUCAUGAAGUUCAAUAUAUUUAAAAAGAUAUUGGA